rnacentral:tRNA from 1 species
GCCUUCGUGAUGUAACGGUUAGCACACUCGGUUCGCAGUCGAGAGUUCCAGGUUCAAGUCCCGGCUAGGGCA